GUUGGUGAACCAGCGGAGGGAUC
rnacentral:rRNA from 1 species